rnacentral:rRNA from 1 species
AGACAGAGGUGGCGAGCGUUGUUCGGAAUUACUGGGCUUAAAGGGCGCGUAGGCGGUGGCGCAAGUAUGUGGUGGAAUUUCACAGCUCAACUGUGGGAUUGCCUUGGAAACUGCGUUACUUGAGUCGGACAGGGGAAGGCGGAAUUCCUGGUGUAGCGGUGAAAUGCGUAGAUAUCAGGAGGAAGGCCUGUGGUGAAGACGGCCUUCUGGGUCUUGACUGACGCUGAGGCGCGAAAGCGUGGGGAGCAAACAGGAUUAGAUACCCUGGUAGUCCACGCCCUAAACGGUGGGUACUAGGUGUGGGAUCCGUAUGGGUUCUGUGCCGAAGGGAAACCAUUAAGUACCCCGCCUGGGGAGUACGGCCGCAAGGUUGAA